GUGAGGUCCGGCGAUCGGGCCUGCGGACGAGGGAGCAGUACCCGCACACGACAAGACUGACUCGAA
rnacentral:ncRNA from 1 species